CAAAAAGUAAAUAGUUGAAGCCAGAUUUGAGAGCAGGUUUGUUAGAUUCCAAAGUGAAAGUGAAAGUUGCUCAGUCGUGUCUGACUCUUUGUGACCUCAUGGGCUAUACAGUCCAUGGAAUUCUCUCAGCCAGAAUACUAGAGUGGGUAGCCUUUUCCUUCUCCAGGGGAUCUUCCCAACCCAGGGAUUGAACCCAGGUCUCCCACAUUGCAGGCAGAUUCUUUACCAGCUGAGCCACAAGGGAAGCCCAAGAAUACUGGAGUUGGUAGCCUAGCCAUUCUCUGGGGGAUCUUCCCAAGCCAGGGAUUGAACCCAGGUCUCCCGCAUUGCAGGAGCCCAUCAGGAGUAUGACAGCAAAGUUGGUGCAGUUCAGACUUUGACUUCUCUUUUUAUCACCAAGAUUGUUUGGCAGAACAUAGGAGGAAUUCCAGCCCACAGGGAGUUGCCCCAGAAAUUAGAUUCAAGGGACAUGUUCAAACCAAUCUGCAGCCUAUAAAUUCAUAUGAAUAUACUGAUCUUCCCAGAAACAAGGAGGUUCAUGUCAUCCCACCAGGGCUUCGACUUGCUGCACUGAAUAACCAGGAACUGACUUUCUGGUGAUGGCUGGAUAAAAGCACUGGGUGAUGGAUGGGGUCAGGGAUGUUUCACAACAGCCACUCAGGAGACUUGGGAACCAAACCAGCUGUUUACCGGAGAGGCUGUUCAUGGGCCAGUUUGCUCCUGUUCCCAGAUCCAGUGACCCUUCUCCUGGAUGUUGCAGAUUUUUAGAAGAAAAGCCAGUGGGCUCCCAGACUAAGUUAAAAAAGAUCCGUUUCUGAAGUGGUGCCCCAUCCCUUGGCGCCUUUAUAUGACGUAGCUGCUUGUGUAAUUGCUGUAAUGUGCAUAUGGCAGUUAUUAGUAUCAAGUAAAGAGCGACUUAGCAGCAGCAGCAAAGAGUGAAAGGAAAAAU
ensembl:lncRNA